UUUAUUAUCUAUAUAUAUAAAAUGAUAAAGUUGUUUGCGCAGUGACUAUAACAACAAAACUAAACAUCCCAAAAAUAAGAAAUUUGGCAACACAAUGCAAAAGGCUUGCCUCCAGGUUACAACAACACAACCACACCACAAAACCACAAUCCAGACCCACAAAUACAAAACUUGGCAACACAAUGCAAAAGCCUUGCCUCCCAGUUGUAACAACACAACCACACCACAAAACCACACAGGACCCACAAAACUCACAACAAUGCAUCAUGACUUUAACAACACAACUAAACGCCCCAGAAAUACAAAACUUGGCAAAACAAUGCAAAAGCCUUGCCUCCCAGUUGUAACAACACAACCACACCACAAAACCACACUGGACCCACAAAACUCACAACAACGCAUCAUGACUAUAACAACACAACUAAACGCCCCAGAAAUACGAAACUUGGCAACACAACACAAAAGCAUUCCCUCCUGAUUGUAACAACACAACCACACCACAAAACCACAAUCUGGACCCACAAAACUCACAAUAGUGCAUCGUGACUAUAACAACACAACUAAACGCCCCAGAAAUACAAAACUUGGUAACACAACACAAAAGCCUUGCCUCUCAGUUGUAACAACACAACCACACCACAAAACCACAAUCCGGACCCACAAAACUCACAACAACGCAUUGUGUCUAAAACAAAUACAAAAUUUGACAACACAACUCAUCCACCUCCCCAAUCCCUACAUUCACACUUGGGCCUCCAAAAAAACAAUUACAAUAAUAACAAUGACAACAACAACAACAAUAAGAAUCAACGCCAUCACAGGCAAGAAACAGCCAGGCACUGAGGCUGAGAGGCCAGUCAGUGCUACACUGGGCCUCCAAAAAACAAUACAGUAGCAUCUAACUUAUCCAACCUUCAUGACCACUACAACAACAAUAAUAAUAAACAGCUACACAGGCAAAACAAAAAAAAGACUAUUGUACCACAAUAAAAAUAUAAACCGCACUCAGCAGAAUCAGACAUUACAACUAACAACAAACCAAAGACAACAGGGAUCUCAAGCAAUUAUCAAUCAACACAAAAAUUGAAGAAGGUAACAGACUUCAAAUACUACUACUAAUGUGAGUAUAAAGAAGGGUGGAGGUCACAGCAUAAAUACAACCUAAUGUAGACUGACCAACACCACCAGACUAAGCCACAGCAACGCGUGGCCGGGCACAGCUAGUAUGUAUAUAGAUAGAUAGUGGCAUUGAAUUCCGCAGUUUUACUAUGCAUUGUGUGGAGAUGUACAUUUUUUUAUGUGUGGAAUCUUCUGCUAUUGUCCAAAAAAGUAAUUUAUCCAAAUUCAGAGUAGAUCUGCAAGCACAAUUGAGAUAGAUAAUUUGUCACUUGCCUGUUAGAUGUGUGAUAUUAAUAGUACCCAAGUGUUGGAAGAAAACAGUGUUGACGUUCUAACUAGGGCAGUACCUGAACUGUUUAUAUAAAAUGCACAAUGUCUCAUAUAAAUAAUGUUACACAAUGCCUUAAUUGAUGGAUUUUCAAAAAGAGUUACGUCAAAACAUUAAGAAAAAAAUGUUUUAUUUUAAAGAGACUUUUAAGGGAGAGUGACAACAGCCAAAAUCACUAACUUCUACAUGAGAAAAUAACAAGGUGGAUUAAUACUUAACAGAUCAUACAACAAUUUAGAUCAAGAAUGCAGUGCCAGAGCAGUAUAUGGUUAUUUUCCUUUCAAAAUAUGGAGUGACUGGCAUAAAAUGGUUUAAGAAAUGCAGAGAUAAGUA
rnacentral:lncRNA from 1 species